GAUCAUUAGUGAAAGUUUCGGGCCUUGCCAUACGGACGCAAAACACGUCUCUGGCGCCCAUCACUAUAUCCAUACCAACCCCUGUGCACUGUGAUGACGAAUGUCAUCGAACAAAAAAAACUCGUAUGGUUGAAUGUACGUGAAAUUGUAGGUAUAGCCUACGAACUAUACACAACUUUCGACAACGGAUCUCUUGGUUCUCCCAUCGAUGAAGAACGCAGCGAAACGCGAUAGGUAAUGUGAAUUGCAGAAUUCCGUGAAUCAUCGAAUCUUUGAACGCACCUUGCGCUCCAUGGUAUUCCGUGGAGCAUGCCUGUUUGAGUGCCGCGAAUUCUCCCUCCCCUUACGGUGGCCGAAAGGCCGAAGUAGGGCGGACGGGGUAGGAUGGGUGUUUGCUGCCUGGGGAUUGUACCAGGCUCGCCCGAAAUGCAUAAGCGCCAGGACCCUCGCUACCGCUCUCUAGGGAAGAGUGGCAAGCGACCGCUGAGCAUGGCAUGAUACGUCAUUUGCUGUGUGUGGGCGGCCGGUUGGAGAGGUGUCUGCUUUA
rnacentral:misc_RNA from 1 species